UACGUAGGGCGCAAGCGUUGUCCGGAAUCAUUGGGCGUAAAGAGCUCGUAGGCGGCCUGUUGCGUCCGCUGUGAAAUCCCGGGGCUUAACCCCGGGCGUGCAGUGGAUACGGGCUGGCUGGAGGCAGGCAGGGGAGAACGGAAUUCCCGGUGUAGCGGUGAAAUGCGCAGAUAUCGGGAGGAACACCGGUGGCGAAGGCGGCGACCUGGGUGGAUACUGACGCUGAGGUGCGAAAGCGUGGGGAGCAAACAGG
rnacentral:rRNA from 1 species